CCUACGGGUGGCGGCAGGGAGGAAUAUUGGGCAAUGGACGGAAGUCGGAACCAGCCAGGCCGCGUGCAGGAUGAAGGCGCGAUGAGGUGUAAAAGGCUGUUGUACGAGAAUAAGAGGUCUUACGUGUAGGGAUUUGAAUGUAUCGUACGAAUAAGGAUCGGCUAACUCCGUGCCAGCAGCAGCGGUAAUACGGAGGAGUCGAGCGUUAUCCGGAUUUAUUGGGUUUAAAGGGUGCGUAGGCUGGUGGAUGAGUUAGAGGUCAAAUGUCGGGGCUUAACCCCGUGCCUGCCUCUGAUACUGUUCGACUAGAGCGCGGCUGCAGCAGGCGGAAUGAGUCGUGUAGC
rnacentral:rRNA from 1 species